UCCAGACUCCUACGGGAGGCAGCAGUAGGGAAUCUUUCACAAUGGGCGAAAGCCUGAUGGAGCAACGCCGCGUGCAGGAUGAAGGCCUUCGGGUUGUAAACUGCUUUUAUAAGCGAGAAAUAUGAUGGUAACUUAUGGAUAAGGAUCGGCUAACUACGUGCCAGCAGCCGCGGUAAUACGUAUGGAGCAAGCGUUAUCCGGAUUUACUGGGUGUAAAGGGAGCGCAGGCGGCCUUGCAAGUCUGAUGUGAAAGGCCGGGGCCCAACCCCGGGACUGCAUUGGAAACUGCGAGGCUGGAGUGUCGGAGAGGCAGGCGGAAUUCCUAGUGUAGCGGUGAAAUGCGUAGAUAUUAGGAGGAACACCAGUGGCGAAGGCGGCCUGCUGGACGAUGACUGACGCUGAGGCUCGAAAGCGUGGGGAGCAAACAGGAUUAGAUACCCCGGUAAGA
rnacentral:rRNA from 1 species